rnacentral:sRNA from 1 species
UGGACUUUAAUAAGUGCUUUUAUUGUGGU